GAUGAACGCUGGCGGCGUGCUUAACACAUGCAAGUCGAACGGAAAGGCCAGUGCUUGCCCUGGUACUCGAGUGGCGAACGGGUGAGUAACACGUGGGUGAUCUGCCCUGCACUUCGGGAUAAGCCUGGGAAACUGGGUCUAAUACCGGAUAGGACAAUGGUUUGGAUGCCGUUGUGGAAAGUUUUUUCGGUGUGGGAUGAGCUCGCGGCCUAUCAGCUUGUUGGUGGGGUAAUGGCCUACCAAGGCGUCGACGGGUAGCCGGCCUGAGAGGGUGUACGGCCACAUUGGGACUGAGAUACGGCCCAGACUCCUACGGGAGGCAGCAGUGGGGAAUAUUGCACAAUGGGCGCAAGCCUGAUGCAGCGACGCCGCGUGGGGGAUGACGGCCUUCGGGUUGUAAACUCCUUUCGCUAGGGACGAAGCGUAUUUGUGACGGUACCUGGAGAAGAAGCACCGGCUAACUACGUG
rnacentral:rRNA from 1 species